CCUACGGGAGGCAGCAGUAGGGAAUAUUGCGCAAUGGGCGAAAGCCUGACGCAGCGACACCGUGUGAAGGAUGAAGGUCUUCGGAUCGUAAACUUCUGUCAAUUGGGGACGAAGGUAAUAGGGUUAAUAGCCUUUAUUAUUGACGGUACCUAAUAAGGAAGUCUCGGCUAACUCCGUGCCAGCAGCCGCGGUAAUA
rnacentral:rRNA from 1 species